rnacentral:rRNA from 1 species
GAAACGACUGCUAAGACUGGAUAGGAGAUAAGAAGGCAUCUUCUUAUUUUUAAAAGACCUAGCAAUAGGUAUGCUUAGGGAAGAGCUUGCGUCACAUUAGUUAGUUGGUGGGGUAAUGGCCUACCAAGACGAUGAUGUGUAGCCGGGCUGAGAGGUCGAACGGCCACAUUGGGACUGAGACACGGCCCAAACUCCUACGGGAGGCAGCAGUAAGGAAUUUUCGGCAAUGGAGGAAACUCUGACCGAGCAAUGCCGCGUGAACGAUGAAGUAUUUCGGUACGUAAAGUUCUUUUAUUAGGGAAGAAAAGAUGGUGGAAAAACCAUUAUGACGGUACCUAAUGAAUAAGCCCCGGCUAACUAUGUGCCAGCAGCCGCGGUAAUACAUAGGGGGCAAGCGUUAUCCGGAAUUAUUGGGCGUAAAGGGUGCGUAGGCGGUUAAAUAAGUUUAUGGUCUAAGUGCAACGCUCAACGUUGUGAUGCUAUAAAAACUGUUUAGCUAGAGUUGGAUAGAGGCAAGUGGAAUUCCGUGUGUAGUGGUAAAAUGCGUAAAUAUACGGAGGAACACCAGAAGCGAAGGCGGCUUGCUGGGUCUUAACUGACGCUGAGGCACGAAAGCGUGGGGAGCAAACAGGAUUAGAUACCCUGGUAGUCCACGCCCUAAACGAUGAGUACUAAACGUUGGAUAAAACCAGUGUUGAAGUUAACACAUUAAGUACUCCGCCUGAGUAGUACGUACGCAAGUAUGAAACUUAAAGGAAUUGACGGGACUCCGCACAAGCGGUGGAUCAUGUUGUUUAAUUCGAAGGUACCCGAAAAACCUCACCAGGUCUUGACAUGCUUUUGCAAAGCUGUAGAAAUACAGUGGAGGUUAUCAGAAGCACAGGUGGUGCAUGGUUGUCGUCAGCUCGUGUCGCGAGAUGUUGGGUUAAGUCCCGCAACGAGCGCAACCCUUGUUGUUAAUUGCCAUCAUUAAGUUGGGGACUUUAGCAAGACUGCCAAUGAUAAAUUGGAGGAAGGUGGGGACGACGUCAAAUCAUCAUGCCCCUUAUGACCUGGGCUACAAACGUGAUACAAUGGCUGUUACAAAGGGUAGCUAAAGCGUAAGCUUCUGGCGAAUCUCAAAAAAGCAGUCUCAGUUCGGAUUGAAGUCUGCAACUCGACUUCAUGAAGUUGGAAUCGCUAGUAAUCGCGAAUCAGCAUGUCGCGGUGAAUACGUUCGCGGGGUUUGUACACACCGCCCGUCA